rnacentral:rRNA from 1 species
UACGUAGGGGGCUAGCGUUGUCCGGAUUUAUUGGGCGUAAAGAGCGUGUAGGCGGCCAGGUAGGUCUGGUGUGAAAACUCGAGGCUUAACCUCGAGAUGUCAUCGGAAACCAUCUGGCUAGAGUCCGGAAGAGGAAAGUGGAAUUCCUGGUGUAGCGGUGAAAUGCGCAGAUAUCAGGAAGAACACCUAUGGCGAAGGCAGCUCUCUGGGACGGUACUGACGCUGAGACGCGAAAGCGUGGGGAGCGAACAGG